UACGAAGGGGGCUAGCGUUGUUCGGAAUCACUGGGCGUAAAGGGUGCGCAGGCGGGUUCAUAAGUCAGGGGUGAAAUCCCGAGGCUCAACCUCGGAACUGCCUUUGAUACUGUGGAUCUUGAGUCCGGAAGAGGUGAGUGGAACUGCGAGUGUAGAGGUGAAAUUCGUAGAUAUUCGCAAGAACACCGGUGGCGAAGGCGGCUCACUGGUCCGGAACUGACGCUGAGGCA
rnacentral:rRNA from 1 species